UUAAAUUGAAGAGUUUGAUCAUGGCUCAGAUUGAACGCUGGCGGCAGGCCUAACACAUGCAAGUCGAACGGUAACAGGAAACAGCUUGCUGUUUCGCUGACGAGUGGCGGACGGGUGAGUAAUGUCUGGGAAACUGCCUGAUGGAGGGGGAU
rnacentral:rRNA from 1 species